AUGUUUUGUUUCUUAAGUUCCAUAUAUGAGUGAAAUCAUAUUGCAUUUGUCUUCGACUGACUUAUUUAACUUAGCAUUAUAUCCUCUAACUCCAUCCACAUCAUGCAAAUGACAAGACUUCCUUCUUAUUUAUGGCUGAGCAGUAUUUCAUUGUAUAAAUAUAUACCACCUCUUCUUUAUUCAUUCAUUCAUUGAUGGACAUCUGGAUUCUUUUCAUAUUGUGGCUAUUACGGGUAUUGCUGCUAUAAAGAUUGGGAUGCAAGUGCCUCUUUGAAUCACUAUUUUAGGAUCUGUUGGUUGCAUACCUCAUAGUGCAACUGCUGGGUCGUGGAGUAGCUCUACUUUUUGCUUUUUGAAGAAUCUGCAUACUAUUUUCCAGAGUGUCUGGACCAGUGUGCAUUCCCACCAAAAGUGGAAGAGGGUUCCACAUUCUCCACAUCCUCACUGACAUAUGUUGUUUCCUGAUUUGUUAAUUUUAACCAUUCUGAUCGGUGUGAGGUGGUAACUCAUUGUGGUUUUGAUUUGUAUUUUCUUGAUGCCAAGGGAUGUGGAACAUUUUCUCAUGUGCCUGUUGGUCAUUGGUAUGUCUUCUAUGGAGAACUAUCUGUUCAUAUCUUCUACCCAUUUAUUGACUGGAAUUUUUGUUUUGGGGGUGUUGAGUUUUAUAAGUUCUUUAUGGAUUUCCUACGUUAGCCCUUUAUCUGAUAAGUCUUUUGCAAAUAUUUUCUCCCAUUCCAUAGGUUGCUUUAUAGCUUUGAUGACUGCUUCCUUUGCUGUGCAAGAGCUUUUUAUCUUGAUGGGAAUCUAAUAGUUCACUUUUGCUUUUGUUUCCCUUUCCUAAGGACACAUUUCUAACAAGAAGAUGCUGUGGCCAAGGUCAGAGAAAUGAUGCCUGUGUUCUUUUCUAGGAUUGUGAUGGAUUCCUGUCUCACAUUUAGGUCAUUUGUCUAUUUUAAGCUUAUUUUUUAGUAUGGUGUGAGAAAGUAGUCCACUUUCAUUAUUCUACAUGUGGGUAUCCAAUUUUCCCAGCACCAUUUGUUGAAGAGACUUGUUUUUCCAUUGGAUAUUCUUUCCUUGCUUUGUUGAAGUUUAGUAGACCAUAGAGUUCAGUGUCUAUUUCUGGGUUCUGUAUUCCAUUCCAUUAGUAUACGUGUCUGUUUUGUGCCAGUGCC
rnacentral:lncRNA from 1 species